CUGGGUGCAGGGGGGCAGGGCUGUACUCCACACAUGGCAGCUGGCUCCCCCUUGUAAACGCCAGCCAAACUGGACACCUCGGGACCGUGUGAGGCACUCUUUGGCCAGGGCCCACCUGCCCCCCACCUCCUCCUCAGCCAGGACUUGCCUGCAGCUACCCUGCUUCAUGCCAGCCAGGACCCAAGUGGUUCUUCUGUGGGCAGAUGCCACGAUGCCACCACCAUCACUGACCUGUGUAACAGUGGCAAUAUCCCUGAGGUGGAGAUCAUCAGCUUGCUGGGGGAGCAGCUGCCCCGCUACACAUUGCGGGCAGACACGGUAUUUGGCUACGACCACGAUGACUGGUUGCACGUACCCCUGGUGCCCCCUGAGGUGCCUGCCCACCUGACGCCCCAGCAGAUUGAGGAGACCCUUCAGUACUUCCUUUCCCUUUGGUUUAGUGUUACUUCAUGAAAUGGAAGGAAUUGACCAG
rnacentral:lncRNA from 1 species